AUAACCCAACUGCACGAUUAUCAAACUGCUUAGCUGCUUAGGAUAUACAUUUCACCCACAUUAGAGGAAACACAUCUGACCUCCUUCUGCUGCCUGCCAUUGAAGGUGAGGCAAGGCGAGGAAUGGAGGGAGGGAGGAACUCGAACAUUCCACCAAGGCCAACGCAAAAAGGGCCUGUAACACGAUCCUCACCUAUCGAACAGGAGGAGCCGUUCUGUAUGUGAACCAGGAACCUCCCUGCUACAGCACUGAAGACCAGGAAGAAGACCAGGGGUCGAGGGUCACUGUUGCUGGAACUGGUAGCUUUGAGGAAAAAAAGAUCAUAAGAUGAUGCCUGAUUACUUCAGCAGUCUUUAAAAUGGAAAUGACAAGCAACAUGUGACUCACUGUGAGAUGUGAAAGUGCAUAAGAGUGCAUGUGGUUAGGGAAGAGGGCUUGUAACUGAAAGGUUGCAGGUUUCAUUCCUACAGCAGGUGUAUCCCUGAGUAAGCAGUAUGGCUUUCAGGUUAAAAUAAGCUGCACAUGUCACUAUAUAAAAGUGUGUACUAAAUGGAUAAAAUGUAAAUGUGAAUAUA